GACGAACGCUGGCGGCGUGCUUAACACAUGCAAGUCGAACGGUGAAGCCCUUCGGGGUGGAUCAGUGGCGAACGGGUGAGUAACACGUGAGCAACCUGCCCCUGGCUCUGGGACAACCACUGGAAACGGUGGCUAAUACCGUAUACGACCCGCCUCGGCAUCGAGUUUGUGUGGAAAGUUUUUCGGCUGGGGAUGGGCUCGCGGCCUAUCAGCUUGUUGGUGAGGUGAAGGCUCACCAAGGCGACGACGGGUAGCCGGCCUGAGAGGGGGACCGGCCACAAUGGGACUGAGAAACGGCCCAGAAUCCUACGGGAGGCAGGAGUGGGGAAUAUUGCACAAUGGGCGAAAGCCUGAUGAAGAGACGCCGCGUGAGGGAUGACGGCCUUCGGGUUGUAAACCUCUUUCAGCUACGAAGAAGCGAAAGUGACGGUAGGAGCAGAAGAAGCACCGGCUAACUACGUG
rnacentral:rRNA from 1 species